GACGAACGCUGGCGGCGUGCUUAACACAUGCAAGUCGAACGGAAAGGCCCUGCUUGCAGGGUGCUCGAGUUGCGAACGGGUGAGUAACACGUGGGUGAUCUACCCCUUACUUUGAGUUAAGCCUGUUCAACUGGGUCUAAUACUUGAUAGGACCAUGCUUUAGGUGGUUUGGUGGAAAGAUUAGUUUGGGUAAGGGGUGAGCUCUCGGCCUAUCAGCUCGUUGUUGGGGUAAUGGGCUACCAAGGCGUCGCCGGGUAGCCGGCCAGAGUGGGUGGGAGGCCAGAUUGGGACUGCGACACGGCGCAGAAUCAGGCGGGAGGCAGCAGUGGGGAAUAUUGUAACAUGGGAGCAAGCCUGAUGUAGCGACGGUGUGCGGGUGAUGAAGGUCUGCGGGUUGUGAACACCAUACGGGCAAGAAGAAGCGCUUGUGGUGACGGUAGUGGUAGAAGAAGCACCGGCUAACUACGUG
rnacentral:rRNA from 1 species